GGAAAUAAGUCUCGUGCUAGUUCCAACCAAUCAAAAAGAAUACUCGUGCACCAGUCCAGAUAAAAAUGAAAAAUGUAUGGUGCAAAUCUUCUCCCAAAACUCCUCCCCGACGACCUCCCAGGUCUCCGACGAGCUCACUCCAUAGAUCUCCGACCCAGGCUCCUCCGACUAAUGACGCCCCUGUGCCCUGGCUCCGCCGCCCCGCCCGAGCGACGCCGCCGUCAUCCGGCCAGCCACUGCUGGCCUCCGAUCCACACGCCACAGCCAAAUCGAACACCUCCGGCUCUUCAACUACGGGAUUGGACAUCAGUCCUCCGCGUCCAAGUCCGGUGGAUUGCCGCAGCUGUCCUCAACGGCGGGAUCGGGCCCCCAGCCUCAACAACGGGGUCGUAGUCAGCGGCCACCGCGAUCCUCGCCUGCGGGAUCGGAUGCCACUGCCGCAAGGUUUUACCUAAUUUUGUUCGACUAUUUGAAAUUUGAUUCGAUUCACGCUUUGAAUUAUAGCCUGGUUUUCCUUUGCUCUGACCAUCAACAAUACUCUCAAAUUUGUAGUGCUGAAAGAGAUACAUAUACCACAUUAGCUACAUCAGUUUUUCUGUUGAGCUUCUGCAUAGAGGAGUUUGAGCAACGUUGUCUCUUUAUUUUCUUCUGUGCCAACAUUCAUAGUAUUGGCAUUUACAUAUUCUUGUUUACUAUCUGUUAUCUACCAAACAUGUCCCUGCGUGUGUACCAUGAUAAUUGCAUGGUAAUGCAAACCAGUUCUGAACCAGAUCCUGCUGGAUCACAACUUACAAGUGCUGAAUUUUCCCAGUUUUUACUGAUAACUGAAAUAUCAGUACACUCUUCACAUCAUCACAAAGUAAAGUAGUCGAUACUGACGGCUAAAUUUAGAAGGGCAAUCGGUAUUUCUUAAUGAUCAUACACACCAAGUUAUCUACCCAAUCAGUAACGAUCAAUUAGCACUGGUCCCUAGAGUUUGCGGUCUAGCCUGACAGUACUAGUUCUUGUUCUUUGCAUGGAAACUGAUUGCUAGCUAGCCUGGGUUAUUAAACGUGGAUAUCAUGUGCAUAGUUGUUGGAAACAAGGCUCGGAUGCGUAGUACAUGCCCACUAUUUUGUGGACAUUACAAGUUCUAGCUGCUCCAGUUUGCAAGAUUGUCCGUUAGGUUUCGUUAUAGUUCUUUGAACCUUGAUGCAGGACCCGAGAAGGAGGGAGUGUGACACUUCGAGUAUAGAUGGCAUACCUGUCAAAAAGGCCAAGUCUGAUGAUAACAUCUGCAAGAUUGGAGUUAGCCUUGCCCACAAGUUGAAAGAGCUUCUUUUUUUCCAUUGUGAAGUCCGCAGUCUUCUCCUUUUAUCCAUGUUGUCAUGGAUGGCUUCGUAACCUAAUUGCCAUCACGUGAUAAUAUAGUGCAUAUUCAGUGUUACAAAAGUGGAUUAAGCGCUAAGCACUUUAGCCGCCAUUAUUCUGUCUGGGCAGCUAGUAACAUAAGAGGCCAGAGAGACUAUCAUGGAUGUCGUAGCAAGGAGCCGAACUGGGGAACUUCUUUGUUCGCCAGUGUUGGUGCACACAAGUCCGAAAUCUGUAUCCUCGUUGUAAUUUUGCAUUGUUCAAAUAGUGAGUGGAUAUAGCUGUCAGAUUUUGGAGGCAUCAUGUAAAGCUGGUAAACUUUUGGUGUUGAUGAAUUAAUAUUUUGGAAA